GUGAUUUUAAGAUUGAAUAUAUUCUUGCAUUUAUAUCGAUAUUCAUCCAAGUCGUUUUCAAGUCGUUAGAUAUUUUCAUCAUAGACGUUACAGGUAUCAUUUCGAGUUGAUAAAACGUUGUCGAUCAAACGAUGAUACGCUAGGUCAGUGUUGAAAUUGAAUUCGUGCAGGAUCAAAGACCGUUGGGAAUGCGUUUCCCUCCAGACAGAACACCGCCACGAACACUAAUAUGGGCUUCGUUACCGAUGGACAACCACGACAAAUACUUGUUGCUAGAGACGUGUGUCGAACGAAUGACUGCUGCCGUUGCUCUCCAACAUUGUUUUCUGGUGGAAUUGUUGCGCUCGUGAGACAGAAUCAACUGUUCUACUUGUAAAAUAUUGAAAUUUAUCUUCGAUACCGCUGUUCCCACGCGAAUGAAUUCAGUUUUUUUUUUAUUAAUUAAAUCAAUGUUCUGAAUGAGAAUUAUCCGUGUAUCAUAAAAUUUGUAAGACUAUUUUUUUACGAAAAAUUUCAUUUAUAGGUUAUGAGUGAAUUAAAAUUUUUUUACUAUUAUUGUGAUGUGAAACAAUCGUGUAAUAUGAAGUUUUUAUAAAUAUAAUAAGGUUAUGGUGACGUAUCAAUCAUUAGGAGUGUUACAACACAGUUUAUUUUACUGUGAAGGCGUUAGUUAACUGGCACAUCUUCAGAGCGGCGCUCUUCGUUGCGGCGCUAACGAAACAUAAGGGGGAAAGAAAAAAAAAAAUAAAUAAAUAAAAAACUGUUUAUACCCAUCGAUCUUCGAGUUCUUCUUUAAGCAUUCUUCGGAGAGAAGCCAAUAUAAUCGUAAAAUGGAACGCAUACGUGCUACUAUACUCGUACGUUUUUUAUUAACUCUCAUAUCUUCGUACAACUUGAAAGAUUCACGAUAAUUGGCUAAGAAUUUCCUUAGCAACAACAACAACAACAACCUUUUCCUUCGUCUUCUGUAUGUUUACAUACCCAAGGAUAGUAGAUACGAUUCGACGAAUCCAUUAUUCGCUGUUUCUAUUGCCCUGAUGUUUGAGUUGGUGUCGAAUUUCAAGGUCGUUACGACGAUCACACUAACGUCGAAAUUUCAUGCCUCGCCGCAUGAUUCCAGAGGCGAAGCAAUUUCUCGAUUAUUUUUCUUCUUUUCAUAGAAUGUGUAUAUACAUAUAUUCUUUCUUUGGUAAAGCUACUCGAAUAAUAACUACAAUUACAAUUUUUCUUUUCUAUUAUAGAAAGAUGUUGAAACGGUUGCUGAUUAUAAGUAGACAUGAUACCAGAUGAAGCCUUGAAUCAUAUGGUGAGGAAAAACUGUAGGGGUCACUACAGGAAAUUGAUUUGUUUUGAUACACACCCUCGCGCACAUUCGACUUUAUCCCUUAACACAGGUCAUUCACUGACUUACUGAUCAAAGUUUGUUUGAUUUAUUUAUAUAUUUUAUGGAAUUCGUGUUGUAAUGUAAAUUAUUAAUGUUGAACAGUAAGUAGUUUUUUUUUAAAAUUUAUUAAAUUGAGCAAAUUAAAAUUUAGAUAGUUUGAAAACGGUAUCCAUAAUGGGAGAAAAAUUUAUUUUGCUUUUAAAAAAUUUUAUAAAUCAAAAAGAAUUCUUAUUGGCAGUGAAAUGAUGAAAAUAAUUAAUAGCCUGGACUUGCAAAUACGAUUAUAAAAGCCAAACGAAAAUAAAUGAGAAGGAAAUAUAAAUUAUUAUUAAAAUUUGAUCUAAUGUAACGUGAAACAAAAUUUAAUGAAACUUUUUAAAAAUUUCACUUUUUCAAAUAGUUGCAAGAAUUAAGAUAGUAUUUAUUUUUGAACGGCAUAUAAUGGGUAUAAUAAAUAUACUUAAUCGCUAAUCUACAUUAAUUUGAUACAAUUUAACAUAUUAUUUACUGUCAGUCGAUUAAUGUGUUUUAUAUCGCCCAUGUUUAUUGACCGAUAACCGAUAAUAAAUAAAUAGUCAUUCUGUUGAUUUUCGUUAUCGACUGAUAGAUUAUUAAUUUUCUUGAAUUUGUUAGAGGUGAUAGUAAAAAAUUAUUAAUAACCAGAAAGAUUAUUAAACAUGUUUUUAAAUA